GAUGAACGCUGGCGGCGUGCCUAAUACAUGCAAGUCGAGCGAACGGACGAGAAGCUUGCUUCUCUGAUGUUAGCGGCGGACGGGUGAGUAACACGUGGAUAACCUACCUAUAAGACUGGGAUAACUUCGGGAAACCGGAGCUAAUACCGGAUAAUAUUUUGAACCGCAUGGUUCAAAAGUGAAAGACGGUCUUGCUGUCACUUAUAGAUGGAUCCGCGCUGCAUUAGCUAGUUGGUAAGGUAACGGCUUACCAAGGCAACGAUGCAUAGCCGACCUGAGAGGGUGAUCGGCCACACUGGAACUGAGACUCGGUCCAGACUCCUACGGGAGGCAGCAGUAGGGAAUCUGCCGCAAUGGGCGAAAGCCUGACGGAGCAACGCCGCGUGAGUGAUGAAGGUCUUCGGAUCGUAAAACUCUGUUAUUAGGGAAGAACAUAUGUGUAAGUAACUGUGCACAUCGUGACGGUACCUAAUCAGAAAGCCACGGCUAACUACGUG
rnacentral:rRNA from 1 species